AUGGUACAUGGUGCAUCAUACAUUACAUGUAUUGCAUGAUGGUGCCAGUGGUGUCUGUCCGACGUGCGCGCGCGCGCGAGAGAGAGCGAGAGAGAGAGAGAGAGAGAGAGAGAGAGAGAGAGAGAGAGAGAGGGAGAGAGAGAGAGCGCCCGCGCGCGAGCGAGAGAGCGAGGGGGAGGCUGCUGCUGCUGCUACUGAGCGAGAGGAAGACAAACACCGCGGAACACACGGCAGGCUGCUAGCUGAGAGGGCAGCAUGGCGGGGCUUCAGGACUUCCAACAAGGCAGCCACUGUCACAGGAAAACGUGGAUCAAUAUACUACUCGGAAUACUACAGUUACUUUUGCCCUGCGUGCAGCACGGAGGGGCGCAGCUGCAAGGUUCGGCUCUUCCCGUCAUUUGUUUCCUUCUUCGGGGGUUGAACGUCAACGCGACCGUUGCAACCACUAAAAAAAAAAAAAAAAAAAUGUUAAUUUAACGUUAGCUACCUUGACUUGACACGCAGGUCGCUGACAAGCUCAUUCGUGAUAAUUUAGUGUACGGGCGAUAAAUGUUAUUUUUUUCAGGUAGAGACCAAAGCAUAUUUUCAUUAUUUUCUUUACCGACACGGGAGAGCCACCGUUUUGCCAGGCGGCUAAUUCGUGCUAGCUCAAACCCAAAUAACACCGGGCAGAGAAGUAACCGUUCAACGGUCGGGGCUUUUCAACGGGGCGGUUACCCGGUCGCUGCCGUCCCCGCUAAGAAGCUCCUGGUUGCGUUGAGCUGGGGUGACCGGAGGCGGAUAAACAGCCGUGAGCGCCGCAACAAGCGGAGCUUUUUUUUUCCAAGUUCGUUAGCCUGCGUGCUAACCUCCGUGCUAACCCAGCGGCUAGCGCUCAGCCUUUUGUCAGCCUGCCAGAGCCAAGUCAUUUCCUCACUCGUCGACCCGCGUCGCCCCGGUUUAUGCAUUUGUUAUAACCCGCCGUUAAAACCGGGAUACUGGGUAGUUUCCAAAAUAACAAAUAAAAACGCUCAAAUUGUCAGCGGUUUGUCGUAUUAUUUGUUUCCCCCCAUGUUGCCUCCAGUUUCCAACCCAGCAGCUCAUUGAUAACAAAUAUGUAUUUCUUGCUCCUACAAAGCUCUGAGUCAGAUGUCCACCAGCGUGGUCGAAGUCUGGCAAGCGGAGGACGCAGACCCCUUAGCCCAACUUCAGGUGGAGAAGGAACGAAGAAAAGAUGUUCUGCCACUAGAAGACGGGUAAGCGUUCUUUUGACUUCCUAAAUCCUCUGUAGCAAAGUAGAAUUUUAACCUUUUACUAGUUCAAAUAUCGAUCACAGAAAGUCACACAUGCAUCCAGCGGUUUCCAAAGAAUAUUUAGAGUCGUACGGUUUUUCCACUGAGCUAUGUGAUCCCCAACAAACCGGCAGGCAGGUGGCGUCAUGCCGGAGCGCUUUCUGGCGUUUAGUGUCGCCGGCUGUGGCGUGUGUUUGUGUGCUACGGCUCAGGCGACACGUCUCCGUUUGAUGUGAACAUAUUCAACAAACCGCGGAUUAAAGGAGCGCUCUGUUAAGUGGUUUAUUAGAUCUGCUUAAUUAAACCGUAGCUGUGGGGUGGCCCGUUUUUUUAUUUUUAUUAUUUGUUCUCACACACUAAUGGCGAGCUUGCGGUUCCAGUUUGAUACGACCGAAGGUUUCUAAAAAGGCUUCUAGGAGUCGUCCCGUGUGUGCAGGCUGUGUUGUGUUGGCGAGUGAGGGGGGUGUGUGACGGAGAGAGUUUUGGGGGCGUGCGAGAGGCACAGAACCAAAUUCCUGACUAAUUUUAGAACUCCUUGAAAGAAAAAAAGAAAAAAAAGGAGGUUGGUCCGUCUCUCCCAGCUGGUUUCGUUCCAGCAGAAGAAAAUGUUUGGAAAAUAAGACGUUGAUGCGGCAAAAUAACAAAUAUUCCUGGUGUCAUUUAGGAAAAAAGUGAUCAGAAACAGGCUUGUAUAUCCAGUGUUCUUUUUUAAGUCACUCUAGUGUUUCUAGUUUAUCUUUCUAGAGUAGCAACGGCAGUAAUGUAGAGAAAGACUCCAGCACGUCGUGUACCUAAAGCAGCUCCAUGUUUUUACUGGCCGGGACGUUCGUACCUUUUCAAAUACCACACUCUGCAUUAAUGAUCCACCCAAUUAAACUUUUUUAUUUGUAGGUAUGUAGUGGAGUAACGCCUACCCGAGCAGAGAAUGGAAUCACUAUUUCGUAGCACCCACCCUCCUGUUCUCCAUCAGGUGAACACCGUUAGCCUAUAACUAUACGUAAGAAGAACUCAGACUGCAUUUGUCUUAUUGGAGCUUGGAGAGAAAAAGCCCUGAAGUUCAAUCUCAGGGUGCAAAGUUUGAAAGGUUGGAUGUUCACUAGCCGGGUCUGAUCGAAUGAAUGUUCUACUAAGUUGUGUUAAUGUGGGCUUGUCAAAGUAAGUUUUAUUUAUAUAUUAUUCGUCUCCUGUUACUCCACCAACUUUCUGAAAGUCGUGAACCGCCUUCCGUCUUGAUAUGAAGUUCGUCUGGGUCACGCGCAGCCAACUGUUGCUGAACACUGUGGGAAUACGGCUAUUUUUAAACCUGGGGAGGUGAGAAGCGAAGGAGGCUUCGUGGUGCCGGUUGACCUCGAGACCCCCGGCGCUGUGGGCCGCCGGGCGCCUCCUGCACGGGUUAUCAGGCACUUAGCGGGCCUGCCAUCGCUCUCUCCCGGCCCGCGAAGCAAAGCAGAUGCCGACGUUAAUGAUCUCCGAGUGAGAGUCUAGUCUUGUGUCAAAAGGUCUUCGUUUAACUUCUUUCAAGCGUUUUUUUCCCACUUUAAUCUCACAAUGAUGUCCUCUGCAGUCUAGUGUUGAUACUGUGGCAACGUGUGCUUCUCAUUUCGCACAUCCUCAAUUUGUUUCCAUGUCUCCUACGAACGCCUGUGAAACCUGUUGACCCCCCCCGCCCCCCCCCUCCGGAUCGAAGCUUGUGUGUCCCUCCUCUAAAUGCUCCCAAUCGUACCACAUCGUAGAACGAGCAUUUCUUUAUUAGAAGAGAAAAGAACGGCACUAAAGGUUUUUCUCCGACCUCUUCGGCGUCUCGCUGGGUUCUACGUAACAAACCGUGUGGCCGGUUGUGAAUCUUCAGCAGGUGGCGGUGACACUGAAUGCUCCCGAGUUGGCAGAACAACGUGAAACAUCGUGGAAUUGAAAAGAUUUAUUUAUUUCAUUCAGUUUGGAUAGAACACCAUCUUCAUUUCUACCUGAUUUAACCAUAAUAAACUGAGGUACCUGUUAUAAUAAGGUCGUCUACUAAUAUUCCCAUUCUGUUGUGUGAAAUGGAAAGCUGCUGCGCUGCGGUCUCGGUGCUUCAGCUUCCUGAAAUGUAGAUUGUUGUGUUGCGUGUCGACGGAGGAGAUCCUCGCCGUUCAUUCCGCCUCCUGAUGCCCCGCCGGCACGCUGAAGCAUUGAUUGGCCAGAGCGCGAGGAAGAUGGAGGAUCGCUCGGGGUGUUUUUAGUCGUUGGCGUCUUUUUUAUUUCUGCUGACUUGGCAUUGAAACCGUCUUCCCUUUUUUUUUUUUUUUCUUCCCUUUUUUUGCUUCCUAGUGAAUUGACCACGUAGGCCGAGCUGCAGCUCAGAAAGAGAUUCAGUUCAGUCGAGCUCGGGCAGCGCUGGCGAGUUAACUAUGCAAGUGUAGUUAAAUGUAAAAUACAACCUGUGGCUAUUCUUAGCUACCCUCUGCAGAAGUAACGUCUCUGAAACCCACACCACCGCUAAUUAAAGUGUCCUCCUAAGCAGCGGUAGAUCGCAGAGACAAACGCAAUGAAUUGCGUUUAAUACGUCGCGUUUCUGUAGACUACAGACGCUGUCCUGUUGAGCGCUGACCACAUUAACCAAACGCAAGCGAUACUGUGGCUGUGCCCUCUGUUAAAGCCCUUAGAACAUUUGCAGCUUAACUUCAGUAUUUCUAUCAAAUAUUAACAAGCCGUGUCUGUUUAAUAAAUUAUGAAAACAGGGUUAUUAUAUACAAAUGUUUAUUUUGGGGAAUAUGAUGGAAAACUCUAAAACCUUGUUGAAUUCACAACCUUUAACAUGCAAUACACAUUUCCAUCAUCAAUAUAACAAACAGAAAGGUGACAUUUAUUAUUAUUUUUAUUUUAGACAAAGGUACAGCUGGUCUAUGAACGAAACCAAAAUGUAAGUUGGAUAUUUCGAGGUGUGGUAACACAUGACAAAGAACGGCCAGUUAAUGUACUGGUUGUGUGCGGUGAGCCGCCUUAGGCCGAAAUUCUCUGUUACUGAUGUUCCCUCGUGUGAAAUAUGUCUGAACAUGUUGCGUCUUAUAUUACCAAACACGGAGACGUUUUGUGUUAAGGGUUUAGUCAAAUGAGAGACGCCGUCCUACUGGAGAACAUGUCCCCGGACCAACCAAUUUUGAUUCCCUUUUCAAUUAGAAAGGCCUCACCUUUCUUUCUUCAAUCGUCUCUGUGAUAUGUAAUUGUUAAGGGGUCGAUUUUAUGGUUUUAAUUGAUGUUUCAUUGAUGCUGAUGCUGCGUUGAACUCCUGAAAUCGGUGUUUCACGGCGCCGGUUCCCAGAGCUCAUUAAGCACAGGAUGUCAAACACACAUAGUCGGC
ensembl:lncRNA